CGCAGGCGCGGGGACGCGCCUCACCCCACCCCGGGGUCGCGCACCUGAGGGGGCACGGUGGGCCCGGCCCUCAAAUGGAGUGGGUUAGUCGAGAGAUCCUGCUAGAGUCUGUCACUGGAAGCUGUCAAACUACAAGUGUUUAAGUAAACACAGGACUUGCCUGUGUGCCUGCUGGGGAAUUCACUGAAUGAGGGUGA